GAGUGAUCUCCUGUGACACAAAGGUAAAACUGAUAUUCUCCAGAUGAUUCUGCUUCCCAGAGAAGCCUUGCCAGCUGCCCCACUGCAGUAUCGACAGCUUCUAAUGCUUUGACCUUGAGCAUGCUCGCCUUGUCGUGGCCAGCAUCAUCUAUUGCCUACAGUACCACACAAAGUCUCAUCGCAUAAUCCAAAAGGAAAAAAGAUGGUACAAAGCUCCCCACAUAUAAAGUGGAAUUCUGGAGGAAAAUUGCUGAAAAGUAAAAGCAGAUAACAAGAACAAAAGUAGUAAAUUUUUGACCUUGAUAUGAAGAAAUCCAAAG
rnacentral:sRNA from 1 species